rnacentral:tRNA from 1 species
GGAGAGAUGGCAGAGUGGUCGAUUGCGGCGGUCUUGAAAACCGUUGAACCGAGAGGUUCCCGGGGUUCGAAUCCCUGUCUCUCCG